GACGAACGCUGGCGGCGUGCUUAACACAUGCAAGUCGAACGGUAAGGCCCUUUGGGGUACACGAGUGGCGAACGGGUGAGUAACACGUGGGUGAUUUGACCUGCACUUCGGGAUAAGACUGGGAAAAUGGGUCUAAUACCGGAUAGGAACACUGCCUGCAUGGGUGGUGGUGGAAAGAUUAUGCGGUGUGGGAUGGGCCCGCGGCCUAUCAGCUUGUGGGUGGGGUGAUGGCCUACCAAGGCGACGACGGGUAGCCGGCCUGAGAGGGUGACCGGCCACACUGGGACUGAGAUACGGCCCAGACUCCUACGGGAGGCAGCAGUGGGGAAUAUUGCACAAUGGGCGCAAGCCUGAUGCAGCGACGCCGCGUGAGGGAUGACGGCCUUCGGGUUGUAAACCUCUUUCAGCACCGACGAAGCGCAAGUGACGGUAGGUGCAGAAGAAGGACCGGCCAACUACGUGCCAGCAGCCGCCGUAAUAC
rnacentral:rRNA from 1 species